rnacentral:rRNA from 1 species
CGCUGGCGGCAGGCCUAACACAUGCAAGUCGAGCGGUAGCACAGAGAGCUUGCUCUCGGGUGACGAGCGGCGGACGGGUGAGUAAUGUCUGGGAAACUGCCUGAUGGAGGGGGAUAACUACUGGAAACGGUAGCUAAUACCGCAUAAUGUCGCAAGACCAAAGUGGGGGACCUUCGGGCCUCAUGCCAUCAGAUGUGCCCAGAUGGGAUUAGCUAGUAGGUGGGGUAACGGCUCACCUAGGCGACGAUCCCUAGCUGGUCUGAGAGGAUGACCAGCCACACUGGAACUGAGACACGGUCCAGACUCCUACGGGAGGCAGCAGUGGGGAAUAUUGCACAAUGGGCGCAAGCCUGAUGCAGCCAUGCCGCGUGUGUGAAGAAGGCCUUCGGGUUGUAAAGCACUUUCAGCGGGGAGGAAGGCGGUAAGGUUAAUAACCUCAUCGAUUGACGUUACCCGCAGAAGAAGCACCGGCUAACUCCGUGCCAGCAGCCGCGGUAAUACGGAGGGUGCAAGCGUUAAUCGGAAUUACUGGGCGUAAAGCGCACGCAGGCGGUCUGUCAAGUCGGAUGUGAAAUCCCCGGGCUCAACCUGGGAACUGCAUUCGAAACUGGCAGGCUAGAGUCUUGUAGAGGGGGGUAGAAUUCCAGGUGUAGCGGUGAAAUGCGUAGAGAUCUGGAGGAAUACCGGUGGCGAAGGCGGCCCCCUGGACAAAGACUGACGCUCAGGUGCGAAAGCGUGGGGAGCAAACAGGAUUAGAUACCCUGGUAGUCCACGCCGUAAACGAUGUCGAUUUGGAGGUUGUGCCCUUGAGGCGUGGCUUCCGGAGCUAACGCGUUAAAUCGACCGCCUGGGGAGUACGGCCGCAAGGUUAAAACUCAAAUGAAUUGACGGGGGCCCGCACAAGCGGUGGAGCAUGUGGUUUAAUUCGAUGCAACGCGAAGAACCUUACCUGGUCUUGACAUCCACAGAACUUUCCAGAGAUGGAUUGGUGCCUUCGGGAACUGUGAGACAGGUGCUGCAUGGCUGUCGUCAGCUCGUGUUGUGAAAUGUUGGGUUAAGUCCCGCAACGAGCGCAACCCUUAUCCUUUGUUGCCAGCGGUCCGGCCGGGAACUCAAAGGAGACUGCCAGUGAUAAACUGGAGGAAGGUGGGGAUGACGUCAAGUCAUCAUGGCCCUUACGACCAGGGCUACACACGUGCUACAAUGGCAUAUACAAAGAGAAGCGACCUCGCGAGAGCAAGCGGACCUCAUAAAGUAUGUCGUAGUCCGGAUUGGAGUCUGCAACUCGACUCCAUGAAGUCGGAAUCGCUAGUAAUCGUAGAUCAGAAUGCUACGGUGAAUACGUUCCCGGGCCUUGUACACACCGCCCGUCACACCAUGGGAGUGGGUUGCAAAAGAAGUAGGUAGCUUAACCUUCGGGAGGGCGCUUACCACUUUGUGAUUCAUGACUGGGGUGAAGUCGUAACAAGGUAACCGUAGGGGAACCUGC